AUAUAAUUAUACUUUAUUUUACAAAGAUAUAAUUUUACUUAUAUAACUAAUUAACUAGUAAUAUUCACUCCUUCUAACCUCUCUUGAUAACUUAAUAAACAAUAUAGCAGCCGUCGCUGCUCCCAUUUUCAGCAACCUUUUGUUCCAUUUUUCAUUGUUUUAAUAGUUUGGUGAAGAGAAGAAUGAUGCCAAACCAAUGGGUGUUGUAGAAUAGAACUUGGAAGGCUUUAUAGUCGGAGUUGCACAAAGUGCUAGUCACAUGCCGGUGAAGUUGUUGUUGUUGUGCAAACUCAGGACAAUACUCUUAAUUGAUCAAUUUCAUGAUCAUCCAUCAUGCACUUUCUUACUACUUUCAUAAAAUCAAAUGUCAUCAAUCAAAGUUAAUCUAUGUCAAUUUUGAAUUGUGAUCUAUCUUGCAACUUUAUAAUAUAGAUAUUUCACACGUCCAAAGUCAUGUGUUGUAUAUUUACAUCAUCAUUCACCUAUGUUUUUGUGAUGAUAAGUUUUUUAAUAAAAAUACUGAUGAAUAUGUUAAUUUGUAUUUUAUUAUGAAAUAUCAUCCUCCUCGUUAAUGUUUUCUUUC